CAGGGUUCACCGAUAGAUAGCAUACGGCGAGCAUACCUUAGCGGUUCGCGCAAACGUUUAAGAUAUCUGCGGCCAUCGAUAGCGAUUCGCAUGUACAAUUAGCGACUGGCCCAAAAUGGAUAGCGAUUCGCGUGCACACUUUAGUGAAUGUCAGAAUUCGGCGCGGUUUGAAAAUAUAGGUUUAUAUGACCCAGGUUGAGGAGUCGAGAUUGGAAAAAAAUCGUUUAAAUUUCGUUUUUUAUGUAAUUGGAAAGUUGUUGCGCACAAAAGUGAUGUGAAAAUUAAUGUUCAUGAUUAUAAAGCAUAAAUUUAUUGAUUUUCAGUGUUGGUUAAAAAAAUAAUAACAAAACUAUGUGAAACAUGAGAAGAACAGCCAUGUGGAGAAUUCAAACAUGGACGUAUAUACACGAAUUCAAAACUGAUGCGAUCUCGAAAAAAAAUCCGUUCAGGUAAUGAAAAUAUUUAGCAUAUUGGUCCAGCAACCGAAGCGUUCACAGUUUUACCAAGCGAUUAACAAUCAGAGCAUCAUUUGCGGUUUCAUUAUACAUUCCUUCGUUGUUUUUGGUUUUGGCAAUCAUCCUUUUAAAGGUGUUUGGCUACGAUAGGAGCUCUUGCUUGUUGAAUUGCGCCCGUGCAACAUUUUUAAUGUCGGUAAAUUUGUUUUAUUAACGCACCGUGAAAGAAUACAAUAUGAAUUCCAGCCAAAGCUCUGUACAAGAGGAAAAUGCAAGCAGCGCUAUGCAAGCACCUCGCCGCCG